UACGUAGGGGGCAAGCGUUGUCCGGAAUCAUUGGGCGUAAAGCGCGUGUAGGCGGCCCGAUAAGUCCGCUGUGAAAGUCCAGGCUCAACCCUGGAAUGCCGGUGGAUACUGUCGGGCUCGAGUCCGGAAGAGGCGAGUGGAAUUCCGUGGUGUAGCGGUGAAAUGCGCAGAUAUCAGGAGGAACACCAAUGGCGAAGGCAGCUCGCUGGGACGGUACUGACGCUGAGACGCGAAAGCGUGGGGAGCAAACAGG
rnacentral:rRNA from 1 species